UCCAUCAUGGUGUAGUGGCUAACAUUAUCGCCUCUCAUGGACCUGUGCAGUGUAGCGCGAUAGCCCAGGGUUCGAUUCCCUGUGAUGGAA